CUUGGUCAUUUAGAGGAAGUAAAAGUCGUAACAAGGUUUCCGUAGGUGAACCUGCGGAAGGAUCAUUAUUGAAUGAACUUGGUGUGGUUGUUGCUGGCCCUCUUGCCGGGGCAUGUGCACACCCACCAUCCUCAUCUCCCCACUUGUGCACCUAUUGUAGACCUGGAUAGACUUUUCCGAGGCAACUCGGUCCUGAGGAAUGCUGCGCUCUUUGGGCAAGCUUUCCUUGUAUAUCCAGGCCUAUGUUUUUCAUGUACCCCAUAGUAUGUAACAAGAAUGUAUCAUUGGGCCUUUGUGCCUAUAAACCUUAUACAACUUUCAGCAACGGAUCUCUUGGCUCUCGCAUCGAUGAAGAACGCAGCGAAAUGCGAUAAGUAAUGUGAAUUGCAGAAUUCAGUGAAUCAUCGAAUCUUUGAACGCACCUUGCGCCCUUUGGCCAUUCCGAAGGGCAUGCCUGUUUGAGUAUCAUGAACACCUCAACUCCUCAUGGUCUUCUAUGAUGAGCUUGGACUUUGGGGGUUUGCUGGCCCAUUCGGUCAGCUCCUCUCAAAUGAAUCAGCUUACCAGUGUUUGGUGGCACCACAGGUGUGAUAACGAUCUACGCUUGAGGUUUUCCACCAGGCAACCUUCAGUAAUGGGGGUUCACUGGGGCUCACAAAUGUCUUUCUUCAGUGAGGACAGCUCUUUGAAUGUUUGAUCUCAAAUCAGGUAGGACUACCCGCUGAACUUAAGCAUAUCAAUAAGCGGAGGA
rnacentral:rRNA from 1 species